rnacentral:rRNA from 1 species
UACGUAGGUGACGAGCGUUGUCCGGAAUCAUUGGGCGUAAAGAGCGCGUAGGCGGCCCUGUAAGUCCGCUGUGAAAGUCCAGGGCUCAACCCUGGGAUGCCGGUCGAUACUGCCGGACUAGAGUUCAGAAGAGGCGAGUGGAAUUCCCGGUGUAGCGGUGAAAUGCGCAGAUAUCGGGAGGAACACCUAUGGCGAAGGCAGCUCGCUGGGACGUUACUGACGCUGAGACGCGAAAGCGUGGGGAGCAAACAGG